UGGGGAAUAUUGCACAAUGGGCGCAAGCCUGAUGCAGCCAUGCCGCGUGUAUGAAGAAGGCCUUCGGGUUGUAAAGUACUUUCAGCGAGGAGGAAGGCGUUGUGGUUAAUAACCGCAACGAUUGACGUUACUCGCAGAAGAAGCACCGGCUAACUCCGUGCCAGCAGCCGCGGUAAUACGGAGGGUGCAAGCGUUAAUCGGAAUUACUGGGCGUAAAGCGCACGCAGGCGGUCUGUCAAGUCGGAUGUGAAAGCCCCGGGCUCAACCUGGGAACUGCAUCCGAAACUGGCAGGCUAGAGUCUUGUAGAGGGGGGUAGAAUUCCAGUUGUAGCGGUGAAAUGCGUAGAGAUCUGGAAGAAUACCGGUGGCGAAGGCGGCCCCCUGGACAAAGACUGACGCUCAGGUGCGAAAGCGUGGGGAGCAAACA
rnacentral:rRNA from 1 species